CAGGUGGUCAUUCGGCUGAGUUCAGCGUCUAGACAGGGGACAGAGCGCCGGUAGAUGGCAGUCGUGUCCCUUCUGCACUAGACAGGAAGAAGCAGCAUCAAACCCUCACACUUAGUACACAGGCUAUAUACAAUCCCACACGCGUCAAACAGGCGCUACAGACCUGUCCGAGGGCGCGCCAUAUAAUCUAUAGCCUUCAGGGUUAUUGCACUCGACCAAUCAUUGGUAAGAUGAAAAAAGAUUAUUGGGCCAUUGACUUUUACGCAUCCAAGAAGACGCCAGUGAGGACAGUUAGAAGAGUAUGACUUUAGGCUGAGGGCUACAUCAAUACGUGUUAGAAGAUUUUUGGUGUCACCAGCGGAGCGCGCUGAGCCGAUACCCACAGAGAGCCGCGCGUCAUUGAGUACCACACCACUUCACACUAGAACUUCAUUCACCGACGAGAUCUCGACGCAUUCGACGGGUCUCACCUCUUUACAUGUUCCUCUUCGUGGGGUGACUCACUUGUAGCUGUUCUCCGUUCGGCUCUCGCGCGCUGCGUAAUUCCACGGCUUGGCGCGGAGCGCAGCAUCAUUCGCAUGGAUUUUCGUCGCGUCACUGCGUUGCUUUUUGCCCGAGUUGAGUUUAACUGUAUUGAGUAGUAUCUGGUGGGAUGUAGCUUUUGAUGAAUACUUCGUCUAUGACAAGUUUAUACGCGUUUGAAAGGAACUACGACUGUGUAGUAUAUGUAUCUGUCAUUUAACUAAAAAAGGGAUUUGACUCAUUUGGCGCAUUUUCGUCCACUUUCCUUGAAAACAACAACAACAAAAAAAGACACUUUGGAGGAUACUGUCUUUUUUCCCCUUUCCAAAUGAUCCUGGUGGUCUUGAAUAGGAUGUGAUAUACGAAUACUUGCGUUUGCCAACGCACGAGCCUCCUCUCUCGAUGCAUUCCGUAGGACAUAAUCACAUUUCAAGGAAAUAAGCAUCUUGAAAUCCGCACUGGGCUGUGAGUAGAAUCUAAUCAGAUCGGGUGCGUAAAGGAGGAAGAAAAGUUCCGUUUUAAACCACGACUGUGGAAUAAGAACCUCAGCGGUCUGCGUUUAUGGUCUGUUGAAGAUUCGAAGGAAGAAGGAAAUGCAGAGAAUUGUCCAUCUCAGGGAUAAAACCCAUCUAGAUGCGUAUUGGCUGAAUGUGAAACCCCAAAUCUGUGCUGUUGAACGCCAAGAAUGACACGCAAAACCAGGGAGACGACGAAUUAAUUGAUUUAUCAGCAGGAAAAAGACUUGGUACAUCGGAUUUUGACGAUGCGGGGCAAGAAAGCAUCGAGAUAUCUGUUUUAGUGGCACUCGUCCAUAUGAUGGCAUUGACAGGAAGACCGAGUGGAUAUACAGGAGCGAAUUUCUUCUCAUAGAAGCUUGUGAAUGCAAAACUGCUCUUGGAGAGCUUGGAUAGCCCAGAGUACACGCUGAAAAAACAUUUAAUUCGCAUCGCGCUUCAUUGCUUGAGAAUUGCGGAUGGAUUUUGGUGCUUUGGAAGCGAACGGAACGUCUGCGAUUUGAACCUCACAUAUUGAGAAAGGAGUGCAGUCAUGGCCACUGAAGCGUGCUGUGUUCACCCCCUCAUCGUCUGGCACUUUUUCCCUCCAUCGUUCUAGAGGAAACAGCAUAAAGAAGGGAAGGCGAAGCCAGCUAGAGAAACCGAGCGUGAAGAUGUCCAGAAUCUGCUGGCACUGUGGAAGACUUGGCAGGUGAGUGUACAGGAACAGGUUGUGAGGAACACACUUUGGCUGAUUUGGGAUCAGGCACCGAGCCCCAUCUGAAGAUGGGAUUGAAUGUGACAUACACAAGCUGAUGUAAGAACCAUCUCGUUGGAGAGGCAGAUAGAUGAGAUCAAACAGUGCUGAAUUACAAUUAGUCCACGUGUCUUAAUUCUCAAGCUGGUCAUUAUUUAUCACAGUUAAACCAUCUCAAACAUUUGCUCCAGCAUACUUUGAUUCAACAUAAACUUUUUUGUACUCAACUCUGAUUUUAGUUUUAACAAUUAUGCGCUGAAAUCAUCAGAAAUAGACUAGUUUUGACUGUAUU